rnacentral:rRNA from 1 species
CCUACGGGUGGCUGCAGUGGGGAAUCUUGCACAAUGGGCGAAAGCCUGAUGCAGCGACGCCGCGUGCGGGAUGACGGCCUUCGGGUUGUAAACCGCUUUCAGCAGGGACGAAAAUGACGGUACCUGCAGAAGAAGCCCCGGCCAACUACGUGCCAGCAGCCGCGGUAAUACGUAGGGGGCGAGCGUUGUCCGGAUUUAUUGGGCGUAAAGAGCUCGUAGGCGGUUUGGUAAGUCGGAUGUGAAAUCUCCACGCUCAACGUGGAAGGGCCAUUCGGUACUGCCAUGACUAGAGUCCGGUAGAGGAAUGUGGAAUUCCCGGUGUAGCGGUGAAAUGCGCAGAGAUCGGGAGGAACACCCGUAGCGAAGGCGGCAUUCUGGGCCGGUACUGACGCUGAGGAGCGAAAGCGUGGGGAGCGAACAGGAUUAGAUACCCCAGUAGUC